CAACAAACACUCUCCACGCCCAAACUUGAGUUACACGCGCAUCCACCAGCAGAAAAAAAAAGAAAGAAAGAAAAGGAGAAGAGGGCUGACGGGAAAGGGGAAAGGGGGAAGGGGUCGCGUUGCUUCCGCUGCCCAAUUCGCGCCGCCAUUGUUGCACGUCCACAGAGCCAUGAGUCGUGCCUCUGUCACUGAGAGGAGGAGGAAGAAGACGCAAUGCUAGAGGAGCCGCACCCAGUCCGUGUCGCGUCGCACAUAAGGGUCACCGGGGGAGAGCGGCGCGGAAGAGGAAGAGAGGCCGAAUGUGGGGAUUCGUCAUCAUCCUCGUUGCUGACUAGCUCGCCGCUGCCGCCACUGUUGUGUCGCGCCAUCGUCAUCCUCAUCACCGAGGCGAGUCAUCGUUGUCCAUGGUGGGCCAAAGAGAGCAGCUCAAACUGCUGAGAGAGAGAGACGUCGAAAGGGAAAACACGAUGAAGGAGACGUUUCCAACGUCGUCAAGCUGAAACGCCGUCGCCGUCAUCAGUUGUGGUCACCGUCAUUGUCGAUGAUGGAGCCUCGCCGAAGCCUGUGUAGUCGUCCUCCUUGCCAGCAGUGAGAGAAAAGCAAGAUGAAUCUCUCUGUUUCUGUUGUUCUGGUCCGCUGAGAAAGGGAAGAUGUUGCCAUUGUGCUUCACGCAUCACCGACGAGCACGGAGAGGAGGGACUGUGUCCGGUCACUACCGUUUGAGGGGAUGUGCUUGGCCGCCGUUGUGCUGCCAUACUUCACCGUGCCUGAGCUCUGCCACUCCCUGCUCUUUGGGCUUGUGUUGAUGCGGGAACCACUACAGGAAGAGGAGCAGGCUGAGUUACCGUGAUUCGGGCCGCCAAGGAUGGUUCUGUGACUUUCUGGACCAUCGCCGAAGCUUCGAGCCGAGCCUCUGCCCCCGGAGAACGCCACCGCCAUCGCCGGAAAACACUGCUGGUUUUAGUCACCAUCGCCGGAGUCCGGUCGCCGCUGCCGCCUGAGGUGGCUGCCGGGAUGCCGCCGAACUGGUUCGAAGACCGCCGCUGUUUCAGUUCAGCCAUUCUUUCUUCGUUUCGAGUCGUUGUGGUUGUUGAGAAAGCAAGUGGAGCUGAGGUUUUGGUUGUAAUCGAUUUGGGUCAAGACGAAUGGAGUCAGUUAACGAGUUUGGGUUGUGGUUUCACGUGUCGAGGUAGGGAUUUUUCUAAAAAGCUAUUGUAUAUUUGGAAUUGUUAUAAAUGGAUACUAGUGUGAGAAUUAUAUACUUUUAGUGAUUGUACCUAUCUUAUGUAUUGUUUGGCUACUUUCGA